AGGUCAGGACGAGGUCAGGCGUGACCAUGGCAACAGGAGCUAAAACAAACCUCUAAAAUCGGCGCUCGUGCGCGUGCACAUGUCGGGCGGCGGCGCGGGCCUGAUGUCGUGCGUGCGCGAGGGCUCGCUGGAGCCGCCCUACAGACCGCCGCAUGCGCAGACGCACACAAAUGGGGAGGGUCGCCGAGGCGGGUUUCUGCGAGGUCUCCGGCGCAUGUUCAAGCGUCGAGGCAGCGGCGCAAGAGUGGACGCCUCGCCUGACCCCAAGAGCAGUUCCACAAGCGAGCUACUGGACGCCGAGAGGC
rnacentral:lncRNA from 1 species